rnacentral:lncRNA from 1 species
CUUCCAAUCUCACAUCUCUCCUUACUGGAGAUACUGUAACAGGCUCUUGCCUGGCCUUCCCAGUCUCCAUUGCUGUUCCAGUUGUUUUUCUCAAAUCCAUCAAGUGCACUUACUGCUUAUGUGCCAUCUCUGGCAAGAAGCCUUCCUUGAACCUUCCAACAGAACCCCACUGCCACUCUCCUGUCAGCCAUAUCCUUACUCUAUCAUUCAAU